rnacentral:rRNA from 1 species
GACGUAGGAGGCGAGCGUUGUCCGGAUUCAUUGGGCGUAAAGAGCACGCAGGCGGUUUGGCAAGUCGGAUGUGAAAACCCGGAGCUCAACUCCGGACCUGCAUCCGAAACUGCCCGACUAGAGGUAGGUAGGGGAGAUCGGAAUUCCUGGUGUAGCGGUGAAAUGCGCAGAUAUCAGGAGGAACACCAGUGGCGAAGGCGGCUUUCUGGACGGUAACUGACGCUGAGACGCGAAAGCGUGGGGAGCAAACAGG